GAAGAAGAAAAUGAUAAGAUGGGGAGAUAUGGAAGAAGAGAUGAAGAGGGAGUCAGAGUGUGUGAAUCCCGCGCGUAAAAGGUAUUCGGAUCUACCGUGUAACUUUAUUUUUUUUCCAUAGCGCGGAUGACCCUACCAUCCAUCCUUUGGAAUAGAUUUCUUAGCACGGGUCAUGGAGCGAGCCACACCUGAAUAUAGCCACUAUUGUUAGACCCGG
rnacentral:lncRNA from 1 species